UACGUAGGGUGCAAGCGUUAAUCGGAAUUACUGGGCGUAAAGCGUGCGCAGGCGGUUUUGUAAGUCUGACGUGAAAUCCCCGGGCUCAACCUGGGAAUUGCGUUGGAGACUGCAAGGCUGGAGUCUGGCAGAGGGGGGGUAGAAUUCCACGUGUAGCAGUGAAAUGCGUAGAGAUGUGGAGGAACACCGAUGGCGAAGGCAGCCCCCUGGGUCAAGAUUGACGCUCAUGCACGAAAGGCGUGGGGAGCAAACGGG
rnacentral:rRNA from 1 species